rnacentral:lncRNA from 1 species
CUUUUGAAUUCUGGAAUCUCCAAUUCGAAAUUGUAUUGUUUCUCUGCUGUGAAUUGGAAUAGACAGGUAAUACAAGGCCAGGUGAACUGUAUCAAGAUGGAAUUUUUAUUAAUUUGGCAUGUUUGCAAAAUGCUUUUAGUCUGGAUGGCAAUCAAAGCUCUGAGAUUUGAACUGAUGUCAAACCCUUAGGACAACUUCUUGGUGUUACCACAUGCAUGAUGACUGCAGAAAGCUCCAAAAAUCUACCAAAUAUCAUGUAUUCAGUGAAUUUGGAAUACCCAAAGCAUUCUUUUGAUUCUCCAGUGAAGUAGCUAGAAAAGAAAGGUUCUCAAAGAAAGAUACUUGAAUGUCUUCGAUGUCGGCAAUGCUGAAGAGCAGCCAUGUGAAAUGCAUGAACAGAGGAGUGGUUUUCAGAUGGUAUUUCAUCCAGAACUGCAUCCUAGAAGCAUUAAGUGCUAUAAAGGAUUGGAGGCCUGAUCCUCUGGCAUGGGUUACCCAGAGAGCUGCGGACGUCUCACCUCUGGAG